AAUGGAGGGAAUGUAGCGCCUUGUUGAUGGUUCCGGGCCGGUCGCGAUGGAAACGCGGCCAUUUCGCCUCAGCCACCAUCACCAUGCGUACCUCGUAUCACCGCUUCUCUUCUCUUUCGAUUCUCUUCUCCGUUCCGUUGGGCGCGCGGACAUUAUGUCUUUCCUCACCGGUUUGAAAGCGGGCUGAAAUAAAACGCACCGUCUCCACUUUCAUAUAAUCCGUCACCUUGCACGGAGGUUUUGUUUUAAUAUAAUCAGAUCCGCCAUAGCGUGGCUGUAGUAAGACAACACCGCCCAUCACUCUUUCAAGUCUCCCUCCCUCUCCGCUCGACGCCAGUCAGCGAUGCUCAGUCCUGUUGUAGGGUGUAUCUCAGGGGUGUGGUGGGUGUCUCCGCCCCGGUAAAGAGCCAGCGAAGAGAAAGGCCGGUGAUCGGGCACCAAGUAAGAAGGUCUUCGGAGGAACCCCCCCUCCUCUCCCCGAUAUUAUUAUCAUCAUUAUCAUGUUGCGGCGGCAAUAAUCCAGAUAUUUUCUUCACCGACCCGCUGGGGGUUGGGAUGGGGCGCUGUGGCGACUGGCUGCGGGCCGGCCUCGGGGUGGCCCAAGUGAGGGCUCGGGUGCCGAGCGCCAGCGCCGCCUUCCUCGCUCUUGUUCUCUUGUUGUGGCUGACCGGGCCCGAGGAGGCUUUUACCCUGACAGCCAGCUCCGUGCUCUCUCACCGCCAAGUGUACCGUUUACUGAGCUACUGUUUUUCCCAUGGCAAUAUUUUUGCCUUGCUCAUCAAUGUUGCAUUGUUAGUUGUCUUGAGCAGCCACCUGGAGCAACAGCUGGGCACCAUUCGAUACUUCUACCUCUCCAUCCUUUUUGCUAUUUUUUCUGCACUGCUUUAUCUGCUUUUGGGCAAACUACUACGUCUUGAUGAAGCACCAGCGUGUGGUUUUACAACUGUUCAAUUUGCUGUGGUGACACGAAGUUGCUGUAGUUUGGGAAUGAAAAGAACUAUUACAGUAGCAGCAGUACCUUGGAUAUUUCUCCCUGUUGCCUACCUUAUUAUCCCAGGUUCAUCUGUCCUUCUCCAUAUCUGUGGAAUUAUUGUUGGGCUGACCUAUAACUAUAGAUUUUUGUUUUGCCUGGAGUUAUCAAACUCAUUGAUAGAUUCUGUUGAAAGAAUGGCUGUCUGUAAGUUCCUGCAACUUAACUCCUGGAUUCCAUUUAUCUUCUCUCCAGCAAAAUAUCAUCUUCCUGUUUGUAACAUGGAGAGAUUCCAUUCAGUGCCAGAAGUCUACGGAACUCGAGGGUCCUCAACAGCAAGUUUAAAAGCUGCUUCUGAUGAUUGUACAAUGAGAGAAGGCAACAGCUACAAUAUUGAAAUGGAUUCUCAGCAGACAGAAACCUCCAAGCAGAUAUUGCCUGCUUCACAGCCUCACGCCGGAUCUCCACAUACCAAUUACUUACAAGCAGAACUGUACAAUCCACAUGAUUUUACACAUCUUAGACAGCUGGAUUCCAACUAUCAUCCCUCUGGAUUUUACCACCUGAAUCCACAUGAUGUCUAUGCUGCUGCUGCUGCUCAUGGUCUUCUCACUGAUGAGGAUCUUCUUCAUGCUGGUAUUAUUGCCUCUUUACGAGAAUCUGGAAUGGACCAGAACCAUAAAGUGGAAAUACCUAAAUCUUCAGUCUCUUCUCUACGCAUCCACAGGACGAUUUUCCACACUCAACUGCACACCACGGAGGAAUGCUGAGCAAAGGACAGGCACAUCUUCAGAUCAACAGAAACCUGGAGGUUCAGUCACAAGAAGGCAUUAUCAUAUUUCUGUCACCUGGCAUUGCAAAGAAAUGGAUGCAAUUUCUUCUAUCUCUUGGCUGUGAAAGGGAUACUGUGUGGGAAACGUUGAGGUCCAUCUAAUCCUGGCAUACCUGGCCGACCAGCCAAUCCCUAUACAAAACAAAGCACAUUCUGUUUAGAAAAGUGAGACUGGAAACAUGAAGUUAUCAUAUGAGAAGUUAACAGCUCCUAACUGAGACAAAAUCUCUUCAUGCAAAAGUGGAAUUUAGAUUCCAUUUAUAAUUUGGGACUCUGCGAGAAUAAAGCCUAACAGAAGACCAACAAAAAAAGUUCAUAUUAAUGUGGACAUGUAUGAAUUACUGUAAAAUUUGAAUAUUUUCUCUGUUAGAACCGCAUCAGUUAUUUACGCACCACUUUUGCAAUGACUUACAUCUUUUCCUGGAGGCCCAGGUGGUCCAAUAGGUCCUUGUUGACCAGGUGAACCUAAACAUUUUCAACAAAAGAUUGUGCUUAAUUUGUGCAAAUGCCUAAUUUAUUCAAAAACCUCUAAUGAUUAAUCAACAGCAAGUGAUGCCACGCAUCUCAGAGAAGGAGCACAUCAGAAACAAUGACUGAAUGACAUGGGGCCAACUGCUCCCACCUCCUCCACCCUCAUUGGCUAAAGAGUGAACUAGGCAGCUUGUGAUGUACCUGUAGUGCCAGGGCAAGUGGUGCCCCCUUCCCGUACUGCACACUGGCAAAUUGCAACUUUGGAUGUUAGUCAGGGGGCUGGAGGCUGGGGUUUGAGAAGUCACGGGGAGAUCGUCUGGGGUCAGGGUGGAGUGUGUUGCUAAACCUCUCAUAUUGGCCAAAGUACAGGCUAAAGAGAAUGCAUCCUGACCACCACCAGCCCACACAGGCUGUCUGCUUGAUGUGGGCCAUUCCUAUCCCUGGUCAAAUGCCGGUGCAGUAAGGACCCGAAGUGGGCAUUAAUUGCUCACUUAAAGUGUUCAGUUGUUUCACUUGCAAUCUGGCCACUCAAUGCCACUCCUGCCACUGGUAUAACUAUGUUGGGAACAGGGCAGGUAGGUAGACAUUGGGCAGGUUACCCACUGGAUUUAAUGUACUCCCUGUCCACUCCCUGUCUUUAAACCCAUUGGUGGGGGAACACUAAGUCCAACUCAUUCGGUCCCAUUUUUAAUUCUGUGCAAAUGGGUGCAUUAUUUUGCCCAAUACUCUUUAUCCCUCCUCCAUAUCUGAUCAAGUGACAGUGCAUGUUAGUGCUUAUACAUGUCAUGCCAAGGGGAGAUGGUGCCCUUGUGGUAAUGUCACAGGACUAGUGAUGCAGGGUCUCACUUUAAUACUCUGGGGACACAGCUUCAAGCUCCAAAGGCAAAUGGUGGAAUUGGAAUUUAAAUAAUUAAUUUGGAAUUGAAAGCUAGUUCAUGGUGACCUUGAAACCAUCUUCGAUUGUCAGAAAGACCCAUCUGGUUUCCUGGUGUCUUUUGUGGAAGUCUUCACUUGAUCUGACCAAUCUGGGACUCCAGACCAUAACUGUGUGGUUGACUCUUUACUGUCCUCUGAAAAUAGCCUAUAAAGUCACACAGUUCAUGGGCAAUGAGUGAUGGGCAAUGAAGACUGACCUUGUCAGGGACAAGUUCAACCCAUGAAACAAGAAAGGGCCUUCUCUUUGCUUCCAAUUCGUUGUCUCCCUGCCCUUAAUCCACCUGCACUGCUUGACCUCUACACUGGAUGUACUGGAUUGCUGGACCUCCUUGUUUAGUGAGCUCUUCAAGACACACAAGCAGCCCACAGAAUGAUACUGAAGCCUGAAAGUGAAAAUUGGUCAUGUCUCUUGCCAGCAACAUUAGACAUGGCUGCAACUUCUUUCCUUCCUCACCACCCACAAUCCACCCCAAGACAUCUGCUGAAAAUGAAAAUUUACAUCAAGCCACAACUGGGUAUAUUUCACAACAAUGAUGCAGCUAUAAUUUUCUCCUACUUCAUUCAUAGGGUGUGGGCACUACUGGCAGAGCUAAUAUUUAUUGCUACUGAGAAGCAAGGGUCAGAUGUAAAUAUAUGUUUUCAUUCAAUUGAUUGCAAAACUAAUUUCAUAAUUAAAUGUGGUAUAUUUAUUUCAUUUGUUUUCCUCAGUCCUUUCAAGUGAUCCUCAGCUACAGGCACGGCAUAAGAAGGUAGACCUAUAUGCUCCCAAUGUUAUUUUUGUGUCACUGUACUGCUCUAUGGCAGCCAACAUUUCAAGU